AUUGAACGCUGGCGGCAUGCUUUACACAUGCAAGUCGAACGGCAGCGCGGGCUUCGGCCUGGCGGCGAGUGGCGAACGGGUGAGUAAUGCAUCGGAACGUGCCCAGUAGUGGGGGAUAGCCCGGCGAAAGCCGGAUUAAUACCGCAUACGACCUGAGGGUGAAAGCGGGGGACCGAAAGGCCUCGCGCUAUUGGAGCGGCCGAUGUCGGAUUAGCUAGUUGGUGGGGUAAAGGCUUACCAAGGCGACGAUCCGUAGCUGGUCUGAGAGGACGACCAGCCACACUGGAACUGAGACACGGCCCAGACUCCUACGGGAGGCAGCAGUGGGGAAUUUUGGACAAUGGGGGCAACCCUGAUCCAGCCAUGCCGCGUGCGGGAUGAAGGCCUUCGGGUUGUAAACCGCUUUUGUUCGGGAAGAAAUCCUCUGGGCUAAUACCCCGGGGGGAUGACGGUACCGGAAGAAUAAGCACCGGCUAACUACGUG
rnacentral:rRNA from 1 species